rnacentral:rRNA from 1 species
UACGUAGGGUCCUAGCGUUGUCCGGAAUUAUUGGGCGUAAAGAGCUCGUAGGCGGUUCGGCAAGUCGGAUGUGAAAUCUCCACGCUUAACGUGGAGGGGCCAUUCGAAACUGCUGUGACUCGAGUCCGGUAGGGGAGUGUGGAAUUCCCGGUGUAGCGGUGAAAUGCGCAGAUAUCGGGAGGAACACCAGUAGCGAAGGCGGCACUCUGGGCCGGAACUGACGCUGAGAGACGAAAGCUAGGGGAGCGAAUGGG